GCGCGCUCCCAGGAAUCUCGGCGCGGCGCGGAAGCCUCCGCCCGCGUUUAGAUAAACAGCCACCUGGGUUACCGAACAACACCCCACCCCGUCUGCCCCGUUGAACCCCGGGGCCUGCGUACUGAGCAUGCGCAGUUCUUCCUCCUACGAGGGCAGCCGCUUCUACUUGAGAAAGCCACGGUCAGAAUUUGGCGGAGACAAGAUGUUGGAGGGGCCAGAGCAAUCUCCGGGCUUUAACAUGAGGCGAGGAGAAGAUACUGGCAAGGUCCAGACGGAGGCCUUCGCAUGAGGGCCUUGCUGGGCACCACCCAGUCUGUCAGCAUUCCUGAGAGCUUUGGUUUUCUCUUGUGUAAACAUAAGAAGCUUUAAGGGAGGAGCAUAAGUACAACGAAAUGCAGCUUUGUUUUAAGCGUCAAGACACUGAGGGAGAAGUGACAGACCCCCAUCCAGCCCACUGCCCGAGGCGGCGAAGGCCAGAAACCGCGGAAGCCGGGCCCACGCUCUGUGACGUCGCCGGGGGUCCCUCCCACCUUCCCCAGCCCCGCCCUUCUUCAGUGCCUGAUAAAAGUCGAGCUCUUCCCACGCCCUGUCAGCUACGGGCGCCUGGAAAACCGGGAGAGCGGAUCCCCCAGCAGCAGCCAGAAGGCCCGGGGACACCUCAUAGCAACAGCCAGCCGGGGCAUCUAGUAGGAAGCUGGGAUUCAUUUCAGCCAACCAGCCCGCGUUUUUGGACCCCGUGGUAUCAUUCUCGACCAAUAGAGAGCCGCUUCAUGCCACGUGACACUGACCCAUCAGCCAAUGGAGGAAAAGUCUAGUCGCAGGCUCAGCCAUCCCAUCUGCCACUGUUGGCCAGGCUGGGCGUUUGCCCCUGCGCACACUCUGCCAACCAAUCAUAGGUCCCCAAAAGUUGAGAAGCCCUGGACUGGAGUGCAUCUGAUAGAAGUUGUCACAAAAAAAUAGCCCCAAGGAUACAACAAUAGACAGAUAGCCAAAAGAGCUUGAAUCUAGGAGGAGGUACAGACGUUAUAAACAGAAGAGGCAGGCAUUAAGCAACUGAUUACACAUUUACAUUUAUGUAAUAACAGCUAUAACUAAUGCUAAUAAGGAGGAAAAAAAUCAGGGAUUACAAGGGUGUGUAAUAAAAUAAAAUAUAAAUAAUAGAAUAUUACAAAAUAUAUAACUAAAUAACUGAAUAACAUUACAGAAACACUUUUCCAAGUACAUGGUAAUAGUAUGUAUCAUUUAUACAUGAAUUCCUAGAGGUCAAGAGAAACAUAUAAUAACCUGGAGUGGGUUUGGUCAGGGAAAGCUGUCUGAGAAAAUUAAUAUGGAGCCAUGUUUUGAAGGAAGUGGCCAAAGAAUAGACUAGGUGGGGCAGAAGAUGAGAGAGCAAAAAAAGAAAGCAGGAAUGAGGCAGAGUGAAAUAAGGGGAAUACAGAAUCACUUGAUUCCUUAAUUCCCUAUAGCAACGCCAUUCUAGGGACAACUAUCAGGGAAAAAAUCAGAAGCCAGAAGUCUCAAAUCAAGAGUAUAAAAAGUAUGAAAAUAAUAUAGGAAAAAACAAUACAGAAGAAGAAGUAGAAGAGUACAAAGGUACAUUUGAACUUAAGGCAUUAUUCAAAAUAAUGAAUAAUUUAUAAUGUGGGUGUCAUGAAAAAAUUGUCAUAAGGGGUAAUUAUGGACUUGAGGACAUCAUGAAAGAGGGAUUCACACUUUCACAAAUAGAAGCAGGAAGAAAAAUGAAGAGUAGCAAAAAAUGAAAAUAAACAGGAAAACAAUUUUUGCUUAUAGUUAUUUUUUUCAUGGUAGCUGUUAUUGACAUGCAUUAUGUAAAAAUGAAUGGGAUUUGAUUGAAAAGAAAAAUUUCAACAGACCAGUAAUAUAUAAAGAUAGUCUUUUGGUAAAUAAUGUAACUUAAAAUGUUUUUUGUAGAGUGCCUUUUUGUACCUUGCCAUAGAAAAAUCUUUUCAAUAAAGUAGCUGCAAGGAAUAAUAAAUUAUAGCUUAGUGAUGCAUUUUGGAAGUAAAGAAACACGUAGAUGUACCAAAUGUAAUAGUAUAGCAGCAAUAAAUAACCUGUAAUAAAAAUCAGAAGUUUGUCAGACAUUACGUGGUUUUUGGUCAAAUAUAAUUGUAGUAAUUUUUCUAAUGCUAUUUUCUGUACAAAUAUAAGAACAUUUUAAAAUUAAGCCACAGUAGGCAUAUGAAUAUCUUGAUAUUCAUAAUAAUGUAACUAAAUUUUACAUUAGUUACAUUAUUAUGAAUAAUAAAAAUGUUUUGCCAUUUCCAAAUCACUUUCCCACAUAUCCAAGAAACUUUUUGUUUUUAAUAAAAAAUUUAAAAAUAAUUAGGAGCAACUCUACUAAUAUGUGAUAUGAAGAUGCUGAACUAGCCUUACUGCUCCUUCCUCCUAGAUGGCUGGAGUAAUAUGGAGGGUGAAACACCCUGCAAUGAAGAAGACUAUGGGAAAACCCAGGAAUGAGGGUUUUUUGUCAUUUUGAAAUUGUCUGGGACUAGAAGAGGGUAGUGGGGAUGUGGGCCUGGGGCAAUAAUCAGCCAGCCACACUGUGGGAGAAUAAAGCAGGGAAAGAACUGUUGAAAAUCUGCUAGUACUUCUCCUUUCCGCUGCCUUGGGAAAAUCAGUGCCUGCCCCUGCAUGCAUUGUGACUCUGAGCUCUGGGCCAUGUAGACUCCAUAAGGAAAUCAGGGCCGCACAGAAGCCCUGUGCUUGUGAGGAGCCAUGAAACUCCUUGGCUCCCAACCAACUUAGGGCAGUUGCCCACCAACACCUCCUUCUCUAACUUCCCUGGCAGCUGGCGAAUCACAACCUAAGGACUGCUCCUCCUGAGGUUGCUUCUCUCUGGGGAAACAGAAGGUGAAUUCUUGAUCUAAGAAGUGAUUGGCUGUGAUUUUCUUGGGUUUAGGGUUCUUCACUGCAGAGCUCAUUUACUCUCACCCCUGAGCAACUUGGCGUGUCUCAGACUGGGGUCUAGUAAAAUGAUGAACCAUCCUUGUUUACCUAGGACUGCCCUGGGUUUAGUCUAGCAUCCCAGAAAACCCCUAAGUGCCAGUGGGUCAUCCUCGACCUAUCCUCAACACAUUUCCAGAGGAAAAUGAAUGCAUGUGCAAAUUAGAUUAUUUUGAGAAGUACAGUUAUUUUAAAAGACACACACACACAAAUAGUAGAUUAUGGUUUCCAUCAGAAGUAUAAACAUUAGAAUGGACCACAAUUUAUAA